rnacentral:misc_RNA from 1 species
GGAGGAUAAGCCUUUAUCGGUUCAUAAACGGGAGAAUCUUAGGUUGAUAGCUGGUAAGAGGCGGAGACGUGGGUCUCGUUCGGUUUCCGGGAGGAGUAGUGAUCGGAGUGGAACUAGAAGACGGUGUUGCUCGGUUGGAGCUUCAGCAGCUUAUGGGACUUGUUCGGAUUUUCCUGUUGCUGCGGGGACUGAUUCAAGUGGGGAAUUGUUCGUGAAUGGGGAUAUGCAUUGGACUUUGGAUGUUAGUGAGGUUACAAAGAGUUUAAGGAAGGAGAAGGAAGGUGGUGGGGUUGGUGAAAGAGAGAAUAAUUUAAAUGGUUUGUCUGUGCAAAGUGGGAAUUUUGAGGGGUUGGG